CGCCGCCGCGGUAAUACGGAGGGUGCAAGCGUUAUCCGGAUUUAUUGGGUUUAAAGGGUCCGUAGGCGGACUUAUAAGUCAGUGGUGAAAGCCUGUCGCUUAACGAUAGAACUGCCAUUGAUACUGUAAGUCUUGAGUAUAUUUGAGGUAGCUGGAAUAAGUAGUGUAGCGGUGAAAUGCAUAGAUAUUACUUAGAACACCAAUUGCGAAGGCAGGUUACCAAGAUAUAACUGACGCUGAGGGACGAAAGCGUGGGUAGCGAACAGGAUUAGAUACCCCCGUAGUCCCUGUCUCUUAUACA
rnacentral:rRNA from 1 species